rnacentral:rRNA from 1 species
UAGGGAAUUUUCCACAAUGGACGAAAGUCUGAUGGAGCAACGCCGCGUGUGCGAAGAAGGUUUUCGGAUUGUAAAGCACUGUUGUAAGGGAAGAAUAAGGUAAACAGGAAAUGGUUUAUCGAUGACGGUACCUUACCAGAAAGCCACGGCUAACUACGUGCCAGCAGCCGCGGUAAUACGUAGGUGGCAAGCGUUGUCCGGAAUUAUUGGGCGUAAAGGGCGUGUAGGCGGUAAAAUAAGUCUGAUGUGAAAUCUCAUAGCUCAACUAUGAAACUGCAUUGGAAACUGUUUAACUAGAGUGUCGGAGAGGAAAGCGGAAUUCCAUGUGUAGCGGUGAAAUGCGUAGAUAUAUGGAGGAACACCAGUGGCGAAGGCGGCUUUCUGGACGACUACUGACGCU